CGUAGGUAACCUGCCCCCGUGACCGGGAUAACGUGCCGAAAGGCGCGCUAAUACCGGAUGUGACCCUGACCUGGCAUCAGGAAGAGGUAAAAGGACUGGGAGCAAUCCUAGCGCACAGGGAUGGGCCUGCGGGCUAUCAGCUAGUUGGUGGGGUAACGGCCUACCAAGGCUAUGACGGCUAGCCGGCUUGAGAGAGUGAACGGCCACACUGGAACUGAGACACGGUCCAG
rnacentral:rRNA from 1 species